CCACUGCCAGGGUGGCCUGAAAGGGAGCUUGGACGCGGAUAAGCCGGUAGUGACGCGACGGAUAAAACUGGCAGCC
rnacentral:sRNA from 1 species